AUUGAACGCUGGCGGCAGGCCUAACACAUGCAAGUCGAGCGAGCGGCGGACGGGUGAGUAAUGUAUGGGGACUGCCCGAUAGAGGGGGAUAACUACAGGAAACGGUGGCUAAUAACGCAUACUGUAGGAUAACACAUAUGGGAUUAGCUAGUAGGUAAGGUAAUGGCUUACCUAGGCGACGAUCCCUCGCUGGUCUGAGAGGAUGAUCAGCCACACUUGGACUGAGACACGGCCCAGACUCCUACGGAGGAAGCAGUGGGGAAUAUUGCAAAAUGGGCGCAAGCCUGAUGCAGCCAUGCCGCGUGAGUGAUGACGGCCUUCGGGUUGUAAAGCUCUGUUAAUCGGGAGACGGUACCGGAAUAGAAAGCCACGGCUAACUACGUGCCAGCAGCCGCGGUAAUAC
rnacentral:rRNA from 1 species